AUUGAACGCUGUCGGCAGGCCUCACACAUGCAAGUCGAACGAGUGGCGGACGUGUGAGUAAUGUCUGGGAAACUGCCCGAUGGAGGGGGAUAACUACUGGAAACGGUAGCUAAUACCGCAUACCAUCGGAUGUGCCCAGAUGGGAUUAGCUAGUGUGUGGGGUAACGGCUCACCAAGGCGACGAUCCGUAGCUGGUCUGAGAGGAUGACCAGCAACACUGGGACUGAGACACGGCCCAGACUCCUACGGGAGGCAGCAGUGGGGAAUGUUGGACAAUGGGGGAAACCCUGAUCCAGCCAUGCCGCGUGUGCGAUGAAGGCCUUCGGGUUGUAAAGCACUUUUAGCAGGAAAGCGGUACCUGCAGAAUAAGCACCGGCUAACUACGUGCCAGCAGCCGCGGUAAUAC
rnacentral:rRNA from 1 species